AUUCCGGUUGAUCCUGCCGGAGGCUAUUGCUAUCGGGAUCCGAUUCAGGCAUGCUAGUCGUACGAGUUCAUACUCGUGGCGUAUAGCUCAGUAACACGUGGUCAAACCACCCUCUGGACUGAGAUACCCUCGGGAAACUGAGGUCAAUCUCGGAUACUGCUUUCACGUUGGAAAAACGGAAAGCUGGAAACGGUCCGCCGCCGGAGGACGUGACUGCGGCUGAUUAGGUAGACGGUGGGGUAACGGCCCACCGUGCCAAUAAUCAGUACGGGUUGUGAGAGCAAGAGCCCGGAGACGGAAUCUGAGACAAGAUUCCGGGCCCUACGGGGCGCAGCAGCCGCGAAACCUUUACACUGCACGACAGUGCGAUAAGGGGAUCCCGAAGUGCGAGGGCCUACAGUCCUCGCUUUUCGUGACCGUAGGUGGUCACAGAAUAAGGGCUGGGCAAGACCGGUGCCAGCCGCCGCGGUAAUACCGGCAGCCCGAGUGAUAGCCAAUUUUAUUGGGCCUAAAGCGUCCGUAGCUGGCCGAACAGGUCCGUCGGGAAAUCCACCCGCUUAACGGGUGGGCGUCCGGCGGAAACCAGUCGGCUUGGGGCCGGGAGACCAAAGGGGUACGUCCGGGGUAGGAGUGAAAUCCCGUAAUCCUGGACGGACCGCCGGUUGCGAAAGCGCCUAUUGGAGAACGGACCCGACAGUGAGGACGAAAGCUAGGGUCUCGAACCGGAUUAGAUACCCGGGUAGUCCUAGCCGUAAACGAUGCUCGCUAGUUGUGACGCAGGCUACGAGCCUGCGUUGCGCCGUAGGGAAGCCGAGAAGCGAGCCGCCUGGGAAGUACGUCCGCAAGGAUGAAACUUAAAGGAAUUGGCGGGGGAGCACUACAACCGGAGGAGCCUGCGGUUUAAUUGGACUCAACGCCGGACAUCUCACCGGCACCGACAACGUGCAGUGACGGUCAGUUUGAUGAGCUUACCUGAGCCGUUGAGAGGAGGUGCAUGGCCGCCGUCAGCUCGUACCGUGAG
rnacentral:rRNA from 1 species